UACGGGGGGAGCAAGCGUUGUUCGGAUUUACUGGGCGUAAAGGGCGCGUAGGCGGUCCGGUAAGCGUGUGGUGAAAGCCCGGGGCUCAACCCCGGGUCGGCCGUGCGAACUGCGGGACUGGAGCACUGUAGAGGCAGGCGGAAUUCCGGGUGUAGCGGUGGAAUGCGUAGAGAUCCGGAAGAACACCGGUGGCGAAGGCGGCCUGCUGGGCAGUAGCUGACGCUGAGGCGCGACAGCGUGGGGAGCAAACAGG
rnacentral:rRNA from 1 species